rnacentral:rRNA from 1 species
GAUGAACGCUGGCGGCGUGCUUAACACAUGCAAGUCGAACGGGAAUUAUUUUAUUGAAACUUCGGUCGAUUUAAUUUAAUUCUAGUGGCGGACGGGUGAGUAACGCGUGGGUAACCUGCCUUAUACAGGGGGAUAACAGUCAGAAAUGGCUGCUAAUACCGCAUAAGCGCACAGAGCUGCAUGGCUCAGUGUGAAAAACUCCGGUGGUAUAAGAUGGACCCGCGUUGGAUUAGCUGGUUGGUGGGGUAACGGCCCACCAAGGCGACGAUCCAUAGCCGGCCUGAGAGGGUGAACGGCCACAUUGGGACUGAGACACGGCCCAGACUCCUACGGGAGGCAGCAGUGGGGAAUAUUGCACAAUGGGGGAAACCCUGAUGCAGCGACGCCGCGUGAAGGAAGAAGUAUCUCGGUAUGUAAACUUCUAUCAGCAGGGAAGAUAGUGACGGUACCUGACGAAGAAGCCCCGGCUAACUACGUG